rnacentral:tmRNA from 1 species
GAUGCUUCGGUAUCUAUAGCGAUAAAUGGCGUUCAGAAUAAGCGGCCCGGACCCGGGGGCGGUACCCGGCGGCUCCACCA